rnacentral:rRNA from 1 species
GACGAACGCUGGCGGCGUGCCUAAUACAUGCAAGUAGAACGCACAGUUUAUACCGUAGCUUGCUACACCAUAGACUGUGAGUUGCGAACGGGUGAGUAACGCGUAGGUAACCUGCCUGGUAGCGGGGGAUAACUAUUGGAAACGAUAGCUAAUACCGCAUAAUAUUGAUUAUUGCAUGAUAAUUAAUUGAAAGGUGCAAUUGCACCACUACCAGAUGGACCUGCGUUGUAUUAGCUAGUAGGUGAGGUAACGGCUCACCUAGGCGACGAUACAUAGCCGACCUGGGAGGGUGAUCGGCCACACUGGGACUGAGACACGGCCCAGACUCCUACGGGAGGCAGCAGUAGGGAAUCUUCGGCAAUGGACGAAAGUCUGACCGAGCAACGCCGCGUGAGUGAAGAAGGUUUUCGGAUCGUAAAGCUCUGUUGUAAGAGAAGAACGGGUGUGAGAGUGGAAAGUUCACACUGUGACGGUAUCUUACCAGAAAGGGACGGCUAACUACGUG